UACGUAGGGGGCAAGCGUUGUCCGGAAUCAUUGGGCGUAAAGCGCGUGUAGGCGGCCCGAUAAGUCCGCUGUGAAAGUCCAGGGCUCAACCCUGGGAUGCCGGUGGAUACUGUCGGGCUCGAGUCCGGAAGAGGCGAGUGGAAUUCCUGGUGUAGCGGUGAAAUGCGCAGAUAUCAGGAAGAACACCAAUGGCGAAAGCAGCUUUCUGGGACGGUACUGACGCUGAGACGCGAAAGCGUGGGGAGCGAACAGG
rnacentral:rRNA from 1 species